rnacentral:sRNA from 1 species
AUAUCUCUCUGUACGGGAAGGAUGAGAAGCUUCGACUAAGGUUCGAUUCGAGCGUCAGCGAGAAAGCGUUGCCGCAGGCAACGACCCGAAGGGCGAAGCGCGCAGCGCUGAGUCAUCCUUCCCCCACCAACA